UACAGAGGUGGCAAGCGUUGUUCGGAAUUACUGGGCGUAAAGGGCGCGUAGGCGGUCCUGUAAGUCCCGCGUGAAAUCCCCCGGCUCAACUGGGGAACUGCGCGGGAAACUGCGGGGCUUGAGACCGGGAGAGGUGAGUGGAAUUCCCAGUGUAGCGGUGAAAUGCGUAGAGAUGCGGAGGAACACCGAUGGCGAAGGCAGCCCCCUGGGCCAACACUGACGCUCAGGCACGAAAGCGUGGGGAGCAAACAGG
rnacentral:rRNA from 1 species